CUAUUUUAGAGUCACUUGCUGAAAUGCGACUAUUACAGAGCACUGAAGACAAACCAGAGCAACUGCACAGUCUUCAGCAACUCUCACAUCCCUAAACCUGGGGGGACCAUUUACAACAUAAUGAAGCCAGCUCUUCUAGGGUCUUCCCUCUCUGCUCAGCAUUUAAAAACCAUAAAUCCUCCAUGUAACCUUUAAGGGUAAGGCUAAAAUUGCAGGCAAAGCAAACUUCAGGUCUUUCUCAUUGAAGUGCCCCUGGCCUCAGAUAGCUUGGCUUCUAACGUCUCAUAGUCCCAUCUCAGAGGUUGCCCAGUAGGGACAUGACAAUUUCCUAUAUCCUUUGUAUUCACAUGGAGGCCAGAGGCAGGUGUCUGGCCCAACAGACCUGGAUCCCAAAGCCUUAGGCCUCAGGGAAGAGCCAGGACAAGAGGUUAGCCCCAGUAAAAAGGCAUAACCCUACUAGAAGAUCCAAAAUAGGAGAGCAUUGAGUAGGAGAUGCAGGAUUGGGGCUCUCCCUGCCCAGGCCAUGGGAUUAGCAGACACCCUUGUGAGUAAGAGCCCUUGGUUUCUGCACUGGAAGGAGCACGCUCCUUCUGAAAGUACCUUGAAUAAAAGGACGAAACUAUUUUCACUGGCAUUGUCCCAGGGAAAAAGGCAAGGGCAGAAAAGCCUAUUCAGUGUCAACUUCUGUGUGGAGCCCAGGACCAGGUGAAGGCAGAGCUGUCUUCAUGGCACUGGGGACCCUGAAGCCCAGUGGGGCAUGGUCAUCAUGGGCUGGAUCCUGGGGAAGAAUCAGGACUUAGGUGCAGAGGAAAAUCAGCACCAGGACAAAGUCUAGGCCCAGGCAGAGCCCACAAUAGGCAUUCCUUCGACUACAGGGCUCCUCUCUACCAAGAUCCAAGGAAAGUGACAAGUGCACCCUGCAGUCAGCACAGCACGCAGGCCCUGAGGACCAGAGCUGUCUCAGCAGGACAGGUGGCUCAGAGACCAGGACACACAUCGCUGGAAAAUUAUGGGAUUUGAGGAUCAGCUACGAUGUCCAUGCCUCCCAGGGAGCCUGUGUUCCCAGCCAGACCCCACCAGCAUGGACCAAAGAUCCCAGGUACCUCCAGCUCUCCUCCCCACUGCCUCAGGCUCUAGUCAUCCAGAAAGUCCUCUUCUGUCUCCUCCUAAGAGGGAAAUUUCUCUCAAAGGAAAAUUUAGUUCAUGUAGAGAAAAUCUUUUCAUUCUUGUGAUAGCACAUCCUUCAAAGAGGAUAGUCUCUGUUUCUCAUAAAAAAGGAUAUUUAUUCUUUCCAAA